rnacentral:rRNA from 1 species
GACGAACGCUGGCGGCGUGCUUAACACAUGCAAGUCGAACGGUGAUCUUGGGAGCUUGCUCCUGGGUGAUCAGUGGCGAACGGGUGAGUAACACGUGAGUAACCUGCCCCUGACUCUGGAAUAACUUCGGGAAACCGGAGCUAAUACUGGAUAUGACCUCCUUCUGCAUGGUUGGUGGUGGAAAGUUUUUCGGUAGGGGAUGAGCCCGCGGCCUAUCAGCUUGUUGGUGGGGUAAUGGCCUACCAAGGCGACGACGGGUAGCCGGCCUGAGAGGGCGACCGGCCACACUGGGACUGAGACACGGCCCAGACUCCUACGGGAGGCAGCAGUGGGGAAUAUUGCACAAUGGGCGAAAGCCUGAUGCAGCGACGCCGCGUGGGGGAUGACGGCCUUCGGGUUGUAAACCCCUUUCAGUCGGGACGAAGCGAGAGUGACGGUACCGAUAGAAGAAGCACCGGCCAACUACGUGCCAGCCGCCGCCGUAAGAC